rnacentral:tRNA from 1 species
CCGCCAUUAGCUCAACUGGAUAGAGCAUAGAGCCACCCUUCUAAGGUUCGGGGUUCAAUUCCUCGAUGGCGGACCA